CAUCAUUAGAAACACUUCCGCCGCACAAGCUAGGUUAUGGAAACCAGUGUUCGGGAAGGCUUCUGCUACAUU
rnacentral:pre_miRNA from 15 species